GAUGAACGCUGGCGGAGUGCCUAACACAUGCAAGUCGAGCGGCAGCGCGAGUAGUUUACUACUUGGCGGCGAGCGGCGGACGGCUGAGUAACGCGUGGGAACAUGCCCCAAAGUGAGGAAUAACUGCCCGAAAGGGUAGCUAAUGCCGCAUACGAUCUUCGGAUUAAAGGAUUUAUCCGCUUUGGGAGUGGCCUGCGUACGAUUAGAUAGUUGGUGAGGUAAUGGCUCACCAAGUCUACGAUCGUUAACUGGUUUGAGAGGAUGAUCAGUCAGACUGGAACUGAGACACGGUCCAGACUCCUACGGGAGGCAGCAGUGAGGAAUCUUCCACAAUGGACGAAAGUCUGAUGGAGCAAACUCCGCGUGCAGGAUGAAGGCCUUCGGUCGUAAACUGCUUUAUGAGUGAAGAAUAUGACGGUAACUACAUGAA
rnacentral:rRNA from 1 species